rnacentral:lncRNA from 1 species
CCUUAAUGGAACUGAAGGAUCAAAGGGUAGCAUUUAUCAAAGAAACGUCAUAAUGCCCACAUCAACAAAAAACACGUCCUUCCAAUUGCAUGCACAUGACAGUGAUGACAAUAUUGUAGAUAACCUAGCGAUCACUAUAAUAAUCCAGUUUAUGUUUCUUCUUUUUGUAACAAUCUGCAAAUUGUAUGCUAUGCCCCUUGUACCAUUUUGAA